CGUGGGUAACCUGCCCAAGAGAUCGGGAUAACACCUGGAAAUAGAUGCUAAUACCGGAUAACAACAGAUGAUGCCUAUCAACUGUUUAAAAGAUGGUUAUGCUAUCACUCUUGGAUGGACCUGCGGUGCAUUAGCUAGUUGGUAGGGUAACGGCCUACCAAGGCGAUGAUGCAUAGCCGAGUUGAGAGACUGAUCGGCCACAUUGGGACUGAGACACGGCCCAAACUCCUACGGGAGGCAGCAGGG
rnacentral:rRNA from 1 species